rnacentral:rRNA from 1 species
ACGGCUCAGUAACACGUGGACAACCUACCCUCAGCACGGGGAUAAACCCGGGAAACUGGGUAUAAUACCCGAUAGUUCUGGGAUGCUGGAAUGCAUCCAGGACGAAAGCUCCGGCGACUGAGGAUGGGUCUGCGGCCUAUCAGGUAGUAGUGGGUGUAAUGUACCUACUAGCCUACGACGGGUACGGGUUGUGAGAGCAAGAGCCCGGAGAUGGAUUCUGAGACACGAAUCCAGGCCCUACGGGGUGCAGCAGGCGCGAAAACUUUACAAUGCUGGCAACAGCGAUAAGGGGACCUCGAGUGCCAGGAUACAAUCUUGGCUGUCGUAAUGCCUAAAAAGCAUUGCAUAGCAAGGGCCGGGCAAGACCGGUGCCAGCCGCCGCGGUAACACCGGCGGCUCGAGUGGUAACCGCUAUUAUUGGGUCUAAAGGGUCUGUAGCCGGCCGGAUAAGUCUCUUGGGAAAUCCAGCUGCUCAACAGUUGGGCUUUCAGGAGAUACUGUUCGGCUCGAGGCCGGGAGAGGUGAGAGGUACUUCAGGGGUAGGGGUGAAAUCUUGUAAUCCUUGAAGGACCACCAGUGGCGAAGGCGUCUCACCAGAACGGUCCUGACGGCAAGGGACGAAAGCUAGGGGCACGAACCGGAUUAGAUACCCGGGUAGUCCUAGCCGUAAACGAUACUCGCUAGGUGUCAGCCACGGUGCGACCGUGGUUGGUGCCGUAGGGAAGCCGUGAAGCGAGCCACCUGGGGAAGUACGGCCGCAAGGCUGAAACUUAAAGGAAUUGGCGGGGGAG